rnacentral:rRNA from 1 species
UUGGAGGGCAAGUCUGGUGCCAGCAGCCGCGGUAAUUCCAGCUCCAAUAGCGUAUAUUAAAGUUGUUGCAGUUAAAAAGCUCGUAGUUGAAUUUCGGGAUCAUCAGGUUGGUCGUGCCUCUGGUAUGUACUGAUUUCGAUGGUUCCUCCUUCUUGAAGAUCCGUAAUGCCAUUAAUUUGGUGUUGCGGGGAAUCAGGACUGUUACUUUGAAAAAAUUAGAGUGUUUAAAGCAGGCAAUCGCUUGAAUACAUUAGCAUGGAAUAAUGAAAUAGGACGUUCGAUCCUAUUUUGUUGGUUUCUAGGAUUGACGUAAUGAUUAAUAGGGAUAGUUGGGGGCAUUAGUAUUCAAUUGUCAGAGGUGAAAUUCUUGGAUUUAUUGAAGACUAACUACUGCGAAAGCAUUUGCCAAGGAUGUUUUCAUUAAUCAAGAACGAAAGUUAGGGGAUCGAAGACGAUCAGAUACCGUCGUAGUCUUAACCAUAAACUAUGCCGACUAGGGAUCGGAUGAUGUUAAUUUUUUAAUGACUCAUUCGGCGCCUUACGGGAAAC